rnacentral:rRNA from 1 species
UACGUAGGGUGCGAGCGUUGUCCGGAAUUAUUGGGCGUAAAGGGCUCGUAGGCGGUUUUGUCGCGUCGGGAGUGAAAACCCAGGGCUUAACCCUGGGCUGGCUUUCGAUACGGGCAGACUAGAGGUAUGCAGGGGAGAACGGAAUUCCUGGUGUAGCGGUGAAAUGCGCAGAUAUCAGGAGGAACACCGGUGGCGAAGGCGGUUCUCUGGGCAUUACCUGACGCUGAGGAGCGAAAGUGUGGGGAGCGAACAGG